CUACGAUGGGGGCAAGCGUUGUUCGGAAUAACUGGGCGUAAAGCGCACGUAGGCGGAAUGUUAAGUUAGAGGUGAAAUCCCAGGGCUCAACCCUGGAACUGCCUUUAAUACUGGCAAUCUAGAGACCGAGAGAGGUGAGUGGAAUUCCGAGUGUAGAGGUGAAAUUCGUAGAUAUUCGGAGGAACACCAGUGGCGAAGGCGGCUCACUGGCUCGGUACUGACGCUGAGGUGCGAAAGCGUGGGGAGCAAACAGGAUUAGAAACCCUAGUAGUCC
rnacentral:rRNA from 1 species